UACAAAGUAGGCAUCGAACAUAAUUUUAAUCACAAGAGACCCGACCCACAAGCAAAAACCUCAGUCCUACUUUUAGAAAAUUUAGAAUAAAAAAGAAAACACGAAAAUCAAAUGAGGAAAACCAACUAAAAAAAAAAAGGAACAUUACAAAAAUCUAUGAAAGUGAAAUAUACGCUACCUGUUAAAGUGUCACGAGACCGCGCAAUAAUCUAUAUGGAGGAACUGGUUACUGGAUUCUCAUGCGCUGAAACGCAAAUAUAUUCGAAAAAUAUCCCAGAAUCCAAAAAGUGAGUAAGCAACUGCGAUCCGCUUUGUUAGAUAUUAAAUAAAUAUUUGUAUUUCCACCGACUAAACCAAAGGACAAUGGAGUAGCGGCAGGAUCUAAGGACACCAAA
rnacentral:sRNA from 1 species